CGGGAAGGCAGGCCGGGGCUGAGGAGAUGGUCGGUCCAGAGGGAGCUGCUGGUUUUGCCAGGUCUCAGGGCGUGUUUUCAGCCGGCGCUCGGCCUGCGGCGUUUCCACGUGCUGGAAGUUUGGGUCCCAAAGCGGAGCGCGAACUAGGUGGCUGUGGACAGGAGGGACCGGAGCUUGAGACAUCCUGGGGAGCUGGGCUUGGCCGCUCACACGUCGGCCGUGUCUGAGAGCAUCCCUGGUGGGCGAGUUGGCCUGCGAGGCCGGGAGGACCCCACCUGGAGCUCCGAGUCCCCUGCAGCUGCUCGGAGUGCGGGUCUCUGUUCCUCUCCAAGAAGAUGACUCUGGCCCCGAGCCCAGCCCUGAGCUCCCUGCUACGGCCACUGCUGCCCAGCCUGCUGAACACGCCUGGCGCAGGUGUCCAAGCCCUGCUGUCGCCGCGACCCCCACCACAGCCAGCCACCUGGUGGACCAGGGAACACGGGAACAGCACGGCAGGAGGUGGCCGUCGCCCUAGGAGGGCGGUGUGCGGAAGCGGAUCUUCUUGGCUGUUUCCACGUCGGACUUGGCAACCAAAAACCGCAUCUUCUUGCCCCCAUUUCGGAUCAGGUCCACGGCUCUGAAACCCAGCGCAGGGGGAGGAGGAGGGAGCCAGGCUCGCGUUGUGGGGACUCCCCGCAGGCCCAGCCUUGGGGUGGGUGAGGCACGCAGGGCUUUGGGGGAACCUGGGAUAGGGACCCACUCUGUCACCCUGCUGUGACACACCCCCUCAAGGGGCCCCCCGGUGGGGCUGCGGUGUGCUCAGAGGUUGAAGGAGCCGGCUGAGCGCUGCACCUCUGCUCCCUCACACCCAGCACAGGGUCAGGAUGGGACCUGCUCAUGGGCCAGGGGCUCCCCUGAUGGCUGCAGCACGAGGGCGGGGGGUACCUCAGGUAGCUGACACCCGCCAGGCUGCUGCCGUUCACCUCCAGGAUGCGGUCUCCCAGGGACAGGCGGCCAUCUGAAGCUGCGGGACUGCCCGGGAGCAGGGUCUGGAUGUAGAGCCCGGGGGCGCCCAGCGGCGUGUGCUGGGGGAGAAGUGGCGGCCUCAGGCUUCUGUGCGCCUGGGCCCGGCUCCCUCACGAGCUCUGCCACAGGGCUGCGAGGACAGCGCCAGACACUGUCACGUCCCCUGCAGGCCCUUCCCUCCUCUCAGAUGCCUGCAAGCCACCCGCUGCACUCCUAGCCCUGCUCCCGACCUUCCCCACGAGCUGGGGGCCGGAGAGGGCCCGGCCCAGUGGAGCCCAGAGGGCCACUCACCAGCCCGUCGAUCAGGCCCAUCCCCAACCCGGAGGGGCCCCGCUCCAGCUCCACAACGAAGACGUAGCAGAAAUCCUCUGUGCUGGAGCUGCGGCUGGAAGGGGCUGCAGGGGGCUCGUCCGCGGGACCCACGCUGUCCCCUGCGUGGGCAAGGAGCAGGGGGCUCUGUCUGCACUGCUGUGGUGUCCUGUUCCUGUCCCCAGGAAGGGUGCUCAUUGUGUUCUAGCAAGUCCCCAACUACUGUCAGGGUAAGGGGGUCACACCCCUGUGUGUUUGGAAGAGGCACCUCCACCACCACCCCCCCCCCACCGUGGCGGGCAUUUCCAGGGGCUGAACGGGGGCCUCUGCCCAGGCUCAUUCUGAGACCCUGCUUCUUCCCUCUGCACCUCUAAGUGCUGACUCCACCUCUGUCCACCCCCCCGUCUGACCCAGCCCCCCAGCCCAGCACCAGAGCCCCGAGCCAGCCUGCCCCCUUCUUGAGCUGGAGCCACCCGGAAAGACCUGUGGAGGUGGCCCCAGCACUCAGAUCUCCAGGAGCCCGGCUGGCGCUGCCAUGGCCUGGAGACCCCCAUUCCUCCCGGCCUCCCUCUAUCCCCAGGGUAGCAACUUACUCCCACAGAUGGCUCUGCAUGGCCCAGCCGCCCUCUGGCAUCCUGGGCAGGCACUGCGAGCCCCAGGCGGAUGUACCACCAGGACCUCACGGUGGCAUGACUCCCAAGGGGCUCUGCCAGGUGGCCACAGGGCUGGGGUGCGAGCAUGAGCCCGGGGACACGUCUCACCUCCUGGAGCUGCGUUCCUCCUCCCUUCCAGGAGCACUUUCCCACAGGUGCCUCUAGGCUCGGGCCAGUCCGGGCCAGUGGGCUCGAGGCUGAGUGGGGUGCUGGGAGGCGUGAGUAGGCACGAGGAGUCUAUGUGCAGGGGGCCAGCCUGGGGGCCCCCGCGGCUCUGCCUUCCUGAAAGGCCCCCAGCACGGGGAGCCCCCGCAGAAGCCAGAGUGCGCCCCUGGCCAGCUUCACGGGCUCCCCUGCAAACUAGUGGGCCGCUCUGGCCCUCAGAGGUGGUGUGGUGCGGGCCCUGGGCGGCAAGGGGAGAAAGAACUCAGGGACGUGGCGGCCGGGCGUGGUGGGAGAACUAGAGGGGCUCCGGGCACUCCCAGGGGCAGCAGCAGCCAGGCCCUGAGCUGGCUGCCCCCGGCCACCCUGCUCUCCGAGUCUGCGCCCCCCCCCCCCCAGCUAUACCCGGUACCUCGAGGCCCCCUGACUGGGAAGACCCCCCACUGGGGCUGGGCUUGCUACGCAGACUCCACAGGAAGUGGCGGAUGUAGAGAAGGUGCUGGUAGAUGCUGUCGUCCAGGCAGUCGGCCUCCAAGUCCACCUGGAAGCCCUCGCUCGGCAGCACAAUGGGUGGGGGGUUUUCAUAGGACUCCAGGACCUCCUCUGUUGGGGGGAGGGGCAGGGGAUGGCAUGACAGGCCCAGCAAGACCAGACUUCCUGUUCCUCCCCAGGUGUGCCAGCCACCCCUACCCCAUACCAUCAGGACUGGGGACGCGGCCGUGGGGCAUCCGGGCAAAGGCAACCUGCCCAGACCAGCGCUCCGCCAUCUGUGUCCGGUGACCCGCAAGGGCAAAGCUCGAGCUGCCGGCUGGAACCUCUGCCCACAGUGGGCCCCUAACACUUCCCCUCCGGGCACCGCCCCCCCCCCCCACUGCCCCUGUCCACUGUGACCUGCAUGUGGCCCUGGAACUCAGACAGUGGGGGGCAUGUCUGCCCUAAAACAGACCCACCCCAUGAGGGCCUCCAGCAGAGCACCCCCACGUCGCAGGCCUCCAAAGUGAGGAGCCCACAGUCCUGCUCAGAGCAGUAGCUCUGUCCAGGCUGAGCCCCUGGGGGACAGGGACACAGUUUCCAACUAUAGUUUCUACGUCCUUGUAACUUCUGUGUGUCAUAGUAUAUCAUGCAGCGGAGAGAUGUGUCCCUAGUUGUGAGAGACACACAGGCCCACGUGGGCCAUAUGUGCGCACGCACGUGGCAAGCACACUGUCUCCACGCACAGACCCUGCUCUCCUCUUGGUCGGCUAUGCCCCAAGCAAGGCCACAGCCUCGGGCCCCUCAGUGGGUAGGACCCAGCCGGACCCGGAGGUUGGAUCUAGGUCAUGGCCUGUGGGCUCUGACUACCCCCACCCCACUCUGUGAGGGUCUCCAGGUCCCCAGGUGGGGGACAGGGCAGGGUGUUCCCAGAGGAAGAUGGCCCAGGAUGAAGGUCCCCAAGGCUCUGCAGGCUCCCGCAGGAAGUCCCCCAGGGAGCUCCUUUUGCCCCAUCACGGCGCACAGGGGCCUCCAGUUCAUGGCCUAGAGGCGGCUCACCUGACUUGAAGGCUUCGGGGCUGUCCUGGGCGCCUGGCUCCCAGGCACUCAUGGGGCCCACGGCCGAGGCCAGCUGGUACUGGGUCAGCAGCCGGUGCAGCUGCGCGGGGCUCAGGGUGGGGAAGGCGGCCCGCAGGUUUGCCCAGCUCAUCUGUGCGACAAGCAGAAGCUCGUGAUCAAAGGCUCCCGGAUGGCACUGCCACACCCCCAAGAGGGGUGUCCUAGGCACUCUGGGGGCAGGGGCAGAGGACCUGGGCUGCCUGGCCCCAUGCUCCCAGCUCACUCACGCGGGCCUUGGUGCUCCUGGGGGCUGGUGAGGUCACUGAGGGGCCCAGGGGGCAGCCAGCAAGCACCCCACCCAGGGCUCUGUCUACUGACUAUGCCCACCACCACGGCACCCACCCCCAGGGCUGAGAAGGGAGGGAAAGAGUCCCCGGGAUUUGAAAAGCAGGACUCCUGCUUUACAGCACAUCAGAGACCUGACCCACCAGGCUGAAAGGAAAGCAUAAACACAAAGCCUCCUACCACCUGGGACCCCCAAGAUUGGCUCUGUGGGCACAGGACAGGGAGGCUCCCUCAAGUGGGACCAGCAGCCCAAGCUGUGCGGAAGAAGGUGAACUUGUGCAUGAAAUCCAACCGCCUACACCGUCCCCUGCAACCCUGGUCUCCACUGGCCAGGGACGCCCCUCUCUGGUUUUCUGGGUCCAUCUCUCCUCUGCGGGUGAAUCCGCUUCUCUGUGACAUUGUCACUCAUGACUGCUGUUGGAGGCGCUGGCCCAACUCAUGCCCUCUGGGGCCCCCAACCUCUGACUUGGCUCUUGAAAGUCAGAAAGCACCCUGAUGGCUCAUCUCCAGGAUGUGUCCUUAUUUUUCCAGAAAGUUCACAGGCUUCUCAUGGCCGUGUCCCGAUGGUGCGGCGCUCAGCCCUCUGCAAGUCUGCUCCCCCUUCAAGCUCUUGGCUCCUGGCAGCGCGCUCUGGAAUCUCAGGGAAACGGGGAGGGGGGGCGGUAUUGGUCCCCCCCAUGCCGCAGCAGCCACCUCCCCUGCUCUUUCCUGAUUCAGUGUUUGGAGCCUGGGCCUCGCCGGCGGGUCCUCCUCUCUUCCCUGCCUUUACUCUGCUUCUCUCUCUUCUGGGUUUACUGCCAAGAGGCUGGGGCUGUGGGUAGCCAGUGCCUUCGCUGGACGGACAACCGUGUCCUGAGGCUACCUUGUUGGGGUGCAGGGCAGCCUCUGGGAGCUGCCCCCUUGCCGCCCAGCUCAGGACGGCCUCUCCUGGCCCGAGGCGGUGCCUUUGGGUUUGCUCAGUUCCUAGAAUCCCAGCUUUCCUCCCGUGGCCGUGCGGCAUCCAGGGCUGGUGUCAGCACGGGCCCAGUACACUCCGUGUCCUUACCUGAGUUCAGGGACACUUUCUGGGUGACUUCCUGGACUCUGUCUCCCGAUCUUGCCACUGAGUCCUUCCUCUCUGCGGUCAUGGUUUUAGUUUCCAAGAAUCCUUUAGGUUCUUUUAUAAAGUCCUGUUAUUUUACCGACACUAAGGUCUUCUCUUUAUGAAGAUGAUUUUUUAAGUUUCUUCUCCCUGAAGUCUGUUUCAGGGAAUGGUGAACUGUGGCCUGAAGCCUAUAUUUAUAGGGCCCUCAAGCUAAAAAUGGUUUUCAGAUUUUUAUAAAAGCAUUAAAACAACAACAAGGAACCUGGGAUGGCCAACUUCUCCAUGGCUCAUGAAGGCUGAAAUAUGGACCACGCAGCCAUUCACAGACAAUCUGCCAACCUGAUCCGUGUCCCCCACCCCCUCUCCCCACAUCCGUCUCGUGUCGGAACCCACUCCCUCCCGUUCACAGAGAGGGUGCCGAGUCUGCCCGGCCGGCUCACGGUGGGACGCAGGUCUGCUCCCCUCAGGCUGUCACCAACCACCCAGCACUGCCAGGCCAGCCUGUGCCAAGGGUAGGGCACAGGCCCCCACCGAGCAGGCAGCAGUCGUGCCUGCAGCACUCAGAAGCUCCCUGGCCCCCAGGAAGCCUCCUUGCCGUCUGCGCUCUAGAACUCAGCCCGGGCGCCUGGCCGGGUGGGAAGGGGCAGUAGGACCCGGCGCCACUGCUUUGUCCUCUUCCUGUGCGUCUCGCAUUGACCAGGGUGGCUGGGCGCGGAGUGGGGCGCUGGUGGCCCGGUGACCUCCGUGCGCGCAUCUGUGAUGUCUGGGCCGCAGCCCCUGUAGCAGGGCAGCCACGGCAAACUCGCCCAUUCCUGUGAGCAGUUUCAAAUGUUUUCCACAGUUUGACAAAGACGCAGUCAUCACUAUCCGUCAACGUCCGUGCUGAAGAUGUCCCCUUCUCGGUUUCCACACUGGCUGUUGGUGACCUCCCACUUCCUUCCGCUCUUCAGAGAGCCGCUCCUGGCCUGUUGCUCCUCUGCUCUCUUCACACUGCUGGGUUUGGCUGCUCCCGGGCCAGGACCUUCCCUCUCGGGCCGGUUCUCUCCACAUUCUCGGGCCUUUUCCGCAGCUCAGACGGUCACCCGCCUGCUAGCUUGGCGCGUCGCAUCUCCUCUGUGUUCUUUCUCCCUGGGGACUCGUGCCACCGAGAAGCCAACCAGAUGCCCAGGUUCCAUCCGUGAUCUGCACCCACACGUCCUGUUUCUGAAUUUCCUCUGGUGAACCCAUGUGUUACUUUAAGAAUAAAACAAUCCCGGAAUUCAACAUUUUGACACCUGA